UAAACCAUUUCUGGUGUAGUGAAAAGACAUUGUUCAAAUGAAAUGGUGUGCACAUGCCUCAUUUUGUAUUUGAUGUAAAAUAUAUAAAGGUGUGAUACCAUUUUCUGGUUUUAUUUGAAAAGUUUAAUUGGCAUUUUAGAGUGACUAUUCAACUCAACUGGCAAAUUCACAAAUGAAGUUACAGAGAUCAUCCUAAACCCAUGCCAAAAAACCCUUUAUCUCAUAUCAUCAUAUUUAAUAUUGUUUACACCACAUUUUAUUUAAAUAUUUUUAGUGUUUUCCAAUUUCAUAUCCUGUUAUCUUUAGUCAGGCUGCCAUAGUUGCUAUGUAGGUGCCUUGGAGGUAUAGGGGGGAAAAGAUAAUCUUUAAAAGUUUAACAUUAUGUAAAAUAGUUUUUAUAUAAAUCUAAACUGUCAUGAUUAAAAUCAGAUCUCGUAGAUUAAUUACCAAUCCAAUUACUAGUUAGGCUUCUUCUUCCUUAGUCAUGUCUUUUCCUUUCUAGGUGACUUAUUAAAAUUUUUUGCUGUCUGAACUUUGGAGGAAUCUUUCUAAAAUAAUCCACAGCAAAUUAACCAGGAAUCUGUAUAACAGGUCUCUUCAUGCCUGUUUUCGUGUUACAAAAAUAUCGUAUCCUACCUAGUGAUUGUUGCAAAGUAAUAGAGGUAAUUAUGGUUCAUUUUGGGGCGAUCAGAGAUCGUAGAAAAGGUAGUUUUCACACAUACUAUAUUUGAUUUUAUAAAUGGAAAAACACCACAGAUAAAAUAAUAUGAAUAUUAUUUGUAGAUUGCUGUAUUUCUGAAAGAUGCAAUUUGAGUUGUUAAAAAAGAGUUAUAUCUGGAAGAGUAAGAGGAUAGUAUUAAUUUUGUACUGUCAAAGUAAGUUAACUUCCACUUAAAUAUGGGUAAUGCAACAUAAGAAUGCCUUCUGAUUAUAGAUUGCUCCUGCAUGCCUGUCAAACGGAAGUAUGUUAGCUGUGCUAGAUAACUGCUCCAUGCUGUACCAGCUUCAGUUGGAAGAUAAAAGAACUGUUAGUUUCUGCUUCAGUCUACUCAUACUUCUUAAAAGAGUAAGGUAAAAGGCUCAUCCUCCAAAAUGCAACAAGUGAAGAUUUAGGUGUAAAGAUGGGAGACAGAUAGAAUGAAGCUAUCCCUCUUGCAAAGAAGCACAACAAAGAUCAUGUCUGGCUUUUCAGUGAUGUCCACAUUCUCAUGUCUUUGCUAGGGGUCAAAGACCACAAAACCACCAAUGAGCUCUUAACAACUUUUCAUGAACUUGCCAAAGCACCUGGUGAAGACCAUGAGCUGAGUUUGGCUCCAAAAUUGGGGUUGCCACUUUCCCAGGCUUGGGUAGAAUUUGACAAUGGAAAUUAUGAAAAGACAAUAGAAUUACUUUAUCCAGUUCACUACAAACUCCUGCAGAUAGGAAGCAGCAAUGGUCAGAUGCCUCCUGGCAGAACAUGAUGGGUUGAGAUCAAAUUUACCAUUGACUGAGUGACUUAUUCGAAAAGCAUCAGCUGUUCAUGUGAUGGGAUGAAUCUUAAAUCUGUUAUUCCAGUGGAAAUAAUAAUUAGCACUAUAAUAAGUCUCUUUCUGUGGCAUUAAAAGACUCAAAAUAGGGAAAAUCCUGCAUCAGCAGCCAUACCAGAUCUUCUAAAUAUCUGAGCUUUGGGAAGCUUCUUUUGGUGAUUCAGCAUCAUUGCUUGAGCUUCUGGCACACCUCUGAUUCUUGGAAAAUUGUAGCCUUGCUGUGCCUAACAGGGUGACAGUAGUAAAUA